rnacentral:rRNA from 2 species
AGACAGGUGCUGCAUGGCUGUCGUCAGCUCGUGUUGUGAAAUGUUGGGUUAAGUCCCGCAACGAGCGCAACCCUUAUCCUUUGUUGCCAGCGGUUAGGCCGGGAACUCAAAGGAGACUGCCAGUGAUAAACUGGAGGAAGGUGGGGAUGACGUCAAGUCAUCAUGGCCCUUACGAGUAGGGCUACACACGUGCUACAAUGGCGCAUACAAAGAGAAGCGACCUCGCGAGAGCAAGCGGACCUCAUAAAGUGCGUCGUAGUCCGGAUUGGAGUCUGCAACUCGACUCCAUGAAGUCGGAAUCGCUAGUAAUCGUAGAUCAGAAUGCUACGGUGAAUACGUUCCCGGGCCUUGUACACACCGCCCGUCACACCAUGGGAGUGGGUUGCAAAAGAAGUAGGUAGCUUAACCUUCGGGAGGGCGCUUACCACUUUGUGAUUCAUGACUGGGGUGAAGUCGUAACAAGGUAACCGUAGGGGAACCUGCGGUUGGAUCACCUCCUU